rfam:Phytophthora infestans T30-4 supercont1.54 genomic scaffold, whole genome shotgun sequence.
CGCCCUUUAUCUCAGUGGUCGAGUGUUGGCUUUGGAAGCCACAGGUCGGUUGUUCGAUUCCACCGGGACGC